AUUGAACGCUGGCGGCAGGCCUAACACAUGCAAGUCGAGCGGAUGAAGGGAGCUUGCUCCUGGAUUCAGCGGCGGACGGGUGAGUAAUGCCUAGGAAUCUGCCUGGUAGUGAGGGAUAACGUCCGGAAACGGGCGCUAAUACCGCAUACGUCCUGAGGGAGAAAGUGGGGGAUCUUCGGACCUCACGCUAUCAGAUGAGCCUAGGUCGGAUUAGCUAGUUGGUGGGGUAAAGGCCUACCAAGGCGACGAUCCGUAACUGGUCUGAGAGGAUGAUCAGUCAAACUGGAACUGGAACACGGUCCAGACUCCUACGGGAGGCAGCAGUGGGGAAUAUUGGACAAUGGGCGAAAGCCUGAUCCAGCCAUGCCGCGUGUGUGAAGAAGGUCUUCGGAUUGUAAAGCACUUUAAGUUGGGAGGAAGGGCAGUAAGUUAAUACCUUGCUGUUUUGACGUUACCAACAGAAUAAGCACCGGCUAACUUCGUG
rnacentral:rRNA from 1 species